UAGGGAAUCUUCGGCAAUGGGGGGAACCCUGACCGAGCAACGCCGCGUGAGUGAAGAAGGUUUUCGGAUCGUAAAGCUCUGUUGUUAAGGAAGAACGAGUGUGAGAAUGGAAAGUUCAUACUGUGACGGUACUUAACCAGAAAGGGACGGCUAACUACGUGCCAGCAGCCGCGGUAAUACGUAGGUGGCAAGCGUUGUCCGGAUUUAUUGGGCGUAAAGCGAGCGCAGGCGGUCAAUUAAGUCUGAUGUGAAAGCCCCCGGCUCAACCGGGGAGGGUCAUUGGAAACUGGUUGACUUGAGUGCAGAAGAGGAGAGUGGAAUUCCAUGUGUAGCGGUGAAAUGCGUAGAUAUAUGGAGGAACACCAGUGGCGAAGGCGACUCUCUGGUCUGUAACUGACGCUGAGGCUCGAAAGCGUGGGUAGCAAACGGG
rnacentral:rRNA from 1 species